CUACGGGUCGCAGCAGUGGGGAAUAUUGCACAAUGGGCGCAAGCCUGAUGCAGCCAUGCCGCGUGUAUGAAGAAGGCCUUCGGGUUGUAAAGUACUUUCAGCGGGAAGGAAGGGAGUAAAGUUAAUACCUUUGCUCAUUGACGUUACCCGCAGAAGAAGCACCGGCUAACUCCGUGCCAGCAGCCGCGGUAAUACGGAGGGUGCAAGCGUUAAUCGGAAUUACUGGGCGUAAAGCGCACGCAGGCGGUUUGUUAAGUCAGAUGUGAGAUCCCCGGGCUCAACCUGGGAACUGCAUCUGAUACUGGCAAGCUUGAGUCUCGUAGAGGGGGGUAGAAUUCCAGGUGUAGCGGUGAAAUGCGUAGAGAUCUGGAGGAAUACCGGUGGCGAAGGCGGCCCCCUGGACGAAGACUGACGCUCAGGUGCGAAAGCGUGGGGAGCAAACAGGAUUAGAUACCCGCGUAGUC
rnacentral:rRNA from 1 species